AUUAAACGCUGGCGGCAUGCCUUACACAUGCAAGUCGAACGGCAGCACGGGGGCGAACCCUGGUGGCGAGUGGCGAACGGGUGAGUAAAGCAUCGGAACGUGCCCUGGAGUGGGGGAGUAACGUAGCGAAAGUUACGCUAAUACCGCAUAUUCUGUGAGCAGGAAAGCAGGGGAUCGCAAGACCUUGCGCUCUGGGAGCGGCCGAUGUCGGAUUAGCUAGUUGGUGGGGUAAAGGCCUACCAAGGCGACGAUCCGUAGCGGGUCUGAGAGGAUGAUCCGCCACACUGGAACUGAGACACGGUCCAGACUCCUACGGGAGGCAGCAGUGGGGAAUUUUGGACAAUGGGCGCAAGCCUGAUCCAGCCAUGCCGCGUGAGUGAAGAAGGCC
rnacentral:rRNA from 1 species